rnacentral:rRNA from 1 species
ACGAACGCUGGCGGCGUGGAUAAGACAUGCAAGUCGAACGAGAGAAUUGCUAGCUUGCUAAUAAUUCUCUAGUGGCGCACGGGUGAGUAACACGUGAGUAACCUGCCCCCGAGAGCGGGAUAGCCCUGGGAAACUGGGAUUAAUACCGCAUAGUAUCGAAAGAUUAAAGCAGCAAUGCGCUUGGGGAUGGGCUCGCGGCCUAUUAGUUAGUUGGUGAGGUAACGGCUCACCAAGGCGAUGACGGGUAGCCGGUCUGAGAGGAUGUCCGGCCACACUGGAACUGAGACACGGUCCAGACACCUACGGGUGGCAGCAGUCGAGAAUCAUUCACAAUGGGGGAAACCCUGAUGGUGCGACGCCGCGUGGGGGAAUGAAGGUCUUCGGAUUGUAAACCCCUGUCAUGUGGGAGCAAAUUAAAAAGAUAGUACCACAAGAGGAAGAGACGGCUAACUCUGUGCCAGCAGCCGCGGUAAUACAGAGGUCUCAAGCGUUGUUCGGAAUCACUGGGCGUAAAGCGUGCGUAGGCUGUUUCGUAAGUCGUGUGUGAAAGGCGCGGGCUCAACCCGCGGACGGCACAUGAUACUGCGAGACUAGAGUAAUGGAGGGGGAACCGGAAUUCUCGGUGUAGCAGUGAAAUGCGUAGAUAUCGAGAGGAACACUCGUGGCGAUGGCGGGUUCCUGGACAUUAACUGACGCUGAGGCACGAAGGCCAGGGGAGCGAAAGGGAUUAGAUACCCCUGUAGUCCUGGCAGUAAACGGUGCACGCUUGGUGUGCGGGGAAUCGACCCCCUGCGUGCCGGAGCUAACGCGUUAAGCGUGCCGCCUGGGGAGUACGGUCGCAAGAUUAAAACUCAAAGAAAUUGACGGGGACCCGCACAAGCGGUGGAGUAUGUGGCUUAAUUCGAUGCAACGCGAAGAACCUUACCUGGGCUUGACAUGUAAUGAACAACAUGUGAAAGCAUGCGACUCUUCGGAGGCGUUACACAGGUGCUGCAUGGCCGUCGUCAGCUCGUGUCGUGAGAUGUUUGGUUAAGUCCAGCAACGAGCGCAACCCCUGUUGCCAGUUACCAGCACGUGAAGGUGGGGACUCUGGCGAGACUGCCCAGAUCAACUGGGAGGAAGGUGGGGACGACGUCAGGUCAGUAUGGCCCUUAUGCCCAGGGCUGCACACGUACUACAAUGCCCAGUACAGAGGGGGCCGAAGCCGCGAGGCGGAGGAAAUCCUAAAAACUGGGCCCAGUUCGGACUGUAGGCUGCAACCCGCCUACACGAAGCCGGAAUCGCUAGUAAUGGCGCAUCAGCUACGGCGCCGUGAAUACGUUCCCGGGUCUUGUACACACCGCCCGUCACAUCAUGGAAGCCGGUCGCACCCGAAGUAUCUGAAGCCAACCGCAAGGAGGCAGGGUCCUAAGGUGAGACUGGUAACUGGGAUG